UAGUCAUAUGCUUGUCUCAAAGAUUAAGCCAUGCAUGUCUAAGUAUAAACAACUUUAUACUGUGUGAAACUGCGUACAGCUCAUUAUAUCAGUUAUUAUUUAUUUGAUGGUACCUUUACUACAUGGAUAACCGUAGUAAUUCUAGAGCUAAUACAUGCGUAAAGUCCCAACUCUCUUUUGGGGAGGGAUGUAUUUAUUAGAUAAAAAACCAAUACCUUCGGGUUUUGCUGGUGACUCAUAGUAACUUUUCGGAUCGCAUGGGCUUGUCCCGGCGA
rnacentral:rRNA from 1 species